rnacentral:rRNA from 1 species
UACGAAGGGAGCUAGCGUUGUUCGGAAUUACUGGGCGUAAAGCGUGCGCAGGCGGCUUUGCAAGACAGAUGUGAAAUCCCCGGGCUCAACCUGGGAACUGCAUUUGUGACUGCAUGGCUAGAGUACGGUAGAGGGGGAUGGAAUUCCGCGUGUAGCAGUGAAAUGCGUAGAUAUGCGGAGGAACACCGAUGGCGAAGGCAAUCCCCUGGACCUGUACUGACGCUCAUGCACGAAAGCGUGGGGAGCAAACAGG